rnacentral:rRNA from 1 species
UACGUAGGGUGCAAGCGUUGUCCGGAAUUAUUGGGCGUAAAGAGCUCGUAGGCGGUCUGUUGCGUCCGCUGUGAAAACUCGGGGCUUAACCCCGAGCCUGCAGUGGAUACGGGCAGACUAGAGGUAGGUAGGGGAGAAUGGAAUUCCCGGUGUAGCGGUGAAAUGCGCAGAUAUCGGGAGGAACACCGGUGGCGAAGGCGGGUCUCUGGGCCGUUACUGACGCUGAGGAGCGAAAGCGUGGGGAGCGAACAGG